UGGGGAAUAUUGCACAAUGGGCGCAAGCCUGAUGCAGCCAUGCCGCGUGUGUGAAGAAGGCCUUCGGGUUGUAAAGCACUUUCAGCGAGGAGGAAGGUGGUGAGCUUAAUACGCUCAUCAAUUGACGUUACUCGCAGAAGAAGCACCGGCUAACUCCGUGCCAGCAGCCGCGGUAAUACGGAGGGUGCAAGCGUUAAUCGGAAUUACUGGGCGUAAAGCGCACGCAGGCGGUUUGUUAAGUCAGAUGUGAAAUCCCCGGGCUCAACCUGGGAACUGCAUUUGAAACUGGCAAGCUAGAGUCUCGUAGAGGGGGGUAGAAUUCCAGGUGUAGCGGUGAAAUGCGUAGAGAUCUGGAGGAAUACCGGUGGCGAAGGCGGCCCCCUGGACGAAGACUGACGCUCAGGUGCGAAAGCGUGGGGAGCAAAACAGGAUUAGAUACCCCUGGUAGUCCACGCUGUAAAACGAUGUCGAUUUUGGAGGUUGUGCCCUUGAGGCGUGGCUUCCGGAGCUAACGCGUUAAAUCGACCGCCUGGGGGAGUACGGCCGCAAGGUUAAAACUCAAAUGAAUUG
rnacentral:rRNA from 1 species